AGAGGGAGAAGUUUUGUGUUUAGGUAUGAGGGGAAUGAGAGCUAACCCUAACUCUCCCCUCAUAACAUCCAACCCAUGCUACAAUUGCACUUAAGCCGCUCUCAUUUGUAUUUUUGCAAACAGCCCUUACUGGGCAAAUUUCGAGCUCGGGGACCGGUCUCUCGAGUAAGGGACCGGUUCCCGAGAGCUACCCCGCAGCCCUCGCAGAAGG
rnacentral:lncRNA from 1 species